AGGAUGAACGCUAGCGGCAGGCUUAAUACAUGCAAGUCGAGGGGCAGCACAGGUAGCAAUACUGGGUGGCGACCGGCAAACGGGUGCGGAACACGUACGCAACUUUCCCAAAAACUGGUGAAUAGCCCUCCGAAAGGAGGAUUAAUACACCGUAACUUAAUGAGGUGGCAUCACUUUAUUAAUAUAGCUCCGGCGGUUUUGGAUGGGCGUGCGCCUGAUUAGGUAGUUGGCGGGGUAACGGCCCACCAAGCCUUCGAUCAGUAACUGGUGUGAGAGCACGACCAGUCACACGGGCACUGAGACACGGGCCCGACUCCUACGGGAGGCAGCAGUAAGGAAUAUUGGUCAAUGGACGCAAGUCUGAACCAGCCAUGCCGCGUGAAGGAUGACUGCCCUCUGGGUUGUAAACUUCUUUUACGAGGGGACGAAAAAGGGAUUCUUUCUCACUUGACGGUACCUGGGAAUAGCACCGGCUAACUCCGUGCCAGCAGCCGCGGU
rnacentral:rRNA from 1 species